AGAAAUGUCUCAAGCAAUAUUCCCUCCCAGAAUAUGAAAUUAUAAACAUCAUCUAAGAGGAUGAAGAAAUGAAAUAUGAAGAAAAAAUAUGACAAUGACAAAUAUAAUGCCAGUGACACUGAAGCUGAGAGCUGAAUAGCAAGAAGCAGCAAGGCAUGGAAGAGCCCAUGUAAGAAGGAGCCCAGGAUCUGACGUCACCUUUUCUCAAGUUAUUCAAUUCAAGUACCUUCCAAUUGCAUAUAUCUAUUACCCAUAGCCCUC
rnacentral:lncRNA from 1 species